rnacentral:rRNA from 1 species
GACGAACGCUGGCGGCGUGCUUAACACAUGCAAGUCGAACGAAGUGGCGAACGGGUGAGUAACGCGUAAUCAACCUGCCCUUCAGCGGGGGACAACAGUUGGAAACGACUGCUAAUACCGCAUACUGACGGAGGGGAUUGCGUCUGAUUAGCUAGUUGGAGGGGUAACGGCCCACCAAGGCGAUGAUCAGUAGCAGGCCUGAGAGGGGGACAGGCCACAUGGGGACUGAGCGACGGCCCAGACUCAUACGGGAGGCAGCAGUGGGGGAUAUUGCACAAUGGGCGAAAGCCUGAUGCAGCGACGCCGCGUGGGGGAUGAAGGCUUUCGGGUUGUAAACCUCUUUCGCUAUCGAACGGGUAGGUGGAGAAGAAGCGCCGGCUAACUACGUGCCAGCCGCCGCGGUAAUAC